rnacentral:rRNA from 1 species
UCGGGAAUUUUGGGCAAUGGGCGAAAGCCUGACCCAGCAACGCCGCGUGAAGGAUGAAGUAUUUCGGUAUGUAAACUUCGAAAGAAUAGGAAGAAUAAAUGACGGUACUAUUUAUAAGGUCCGGCUAACUACGUGCCGGCAGCCGCGGUAAUACGUAGGGACCAAGCGUUGUUCGGAUUUACUGGGCGUAAAGGGCGCGUAGGCGGCAAUUCAAGUCAUCUGUGAAAUCUCCGGGCUUAACUCGGAACGGUCAGAUGAUACUGCUUUGCUAGAGUGCAGAAGGGGCAAUCGGAAUUCUUGGUGUAGCGGUGAAAUGCGUAGAUAUCAAGAGGAACACCUGAGGUGAAGACGGGUUGCUGGGCUGACACUGACGCUGAGGCGCGAAAGCCAGGGGAGCAAACGGGAUUAGAUACCCCCGUAGUCCCUGAGCGGGCUGGCAAGGCGCAU